AUGCAGUCGAGCGGUAGAGAAGGAGCUUGCUUCUUCUUGAGAGCGGCGGACGGGUGAGUAAUGCCUAGGAAUCUGCCUGGUAGUGGGGGACAACGUUUCGAAAGGAACGCUAAUACCGCAUACGUCCUACGGGAGAAAGUGGGGGAUCUUCGGACCUCACGCUAUCAGAUGAGCCUAGGUCGGAUUAGCUUGUAGGUGAGGUAAUGGCUCACCUAGGCAACGAUCCGUAACUGGUCUGAGAGGAUGAUCAGUCACACUGGAACUGAGACACGGUCCAGACUCCUACGGGAGGCAGCAGUGGGGAAUAUUGGACAAUGGGCGAAAGCCUGAUCCAGCCAUGCCGCGUGUGUGAAGAAGGUCUUCGGAUUGUAAAGCACUUUAAGUUGGGAGGAAGGGUUGUAGCUUAAUACGCUGCAACUUUGACGUUACCAACAGAAUAAGCACCGGCUAACUCUGUGCCAGCAGCCGCGGUAAUACAGAGGGUGCAAGCGUUAAUCGGAAUUACUGGGCGUAAAGCGCGCGUAGGCGGCUUGAUAAGAUGGGUGUGAAAUCCCCGGGCUUAACCUGGGAACUGCAUCCAUAACUGUCUGGCUAGAGUGCAGUAGAGGGUGGUGGAAUUUCCUGUGUAGCGGUGAAAUGCGUAGAUAUAGGAAGGAACACCAGUGGCGAAGGCGACCACCUGGACUGACACUGACGCUGAGGUGCGAAAGCGUGGGGGAGCAAACAGGAUUAGAUACCCUGGUAGUCCACGCCGUAAACGAUGUCAACUAGCCGUUGGAAUCCUUGAGAUUUUAGUGGCGCAGCUAACGCACUAAGUUGACCGCCUGGGGAGUACGGUCGCAAGAUUAAAACUCAAAUGAAUUGACGGGGGCCCGCACAAGCGGUGGAGCAUGUGGUUUAAUUCGAAGCAACGCGAAGAACCUUACCUGGCCUUGACAUGCAGAGAACUUUCCAGAGAUGGAUUGGUGCCUUCGGGAACUCUGACACAGGUGCUGCAUGGCUGUCGUCAGCUCGUGUCGUGAGAUGUUGGGUUAAGUCCCGUAACGAGCGCAACCCUUGUCCUUAGUUACCAGCACAUUAUGGUGGGCACUCUAAGGAGACUGCCGGUGACAAACCGGAGGAAGGUGGGGAUGACGUCAAGUCAUCAUGGCCCUUACGGCCAGGGCUACACACGUGCUACAAUGGUCGGUACAGAGGGUUGCCAAGCCGCGAGGUGGAGCUAAUCCCAUAAAACCGAUCGUAGUCCGGAUUGGAGUCUGCAACUCGACUCCAUGAAGUCGGAAUCGCUAGUAAUCGUGGAUCAGAAUGCCACGGUGAAUACGUUCCCGGGCCUUGUACACACCGCCCGUCACACCAUGGGAGUGGGUUGCACCAGAAGUAGCUAGUCUAACCUUCGGAGGAC
rnacentral:rRNA from 2 species